AGACAUGAUAGGGGAGGAGCAGCGCUGCACGAGCGUCUGAAGGGAACCCAGCCGAAAGAGUCAAGCUCGCAGCUGGACUGCAGCUUCAACCCCGGGACAUCACCUGAAGGACAGGUCACGGACCAAGAUGGGUACCAGCAAGGGGGGUAAGGCCAUGGUUGGUCUCCUCCUCACAAUCGCCGCUGUCAUCGGUUAUUGCCAGCCCUGGGUCUCCAUCCAACCUCGCCGCAACAUCUGGGUCACCCUCGCCAACAUGACAGGACAAGAAGCAAUGUGCCUGUCCCUGGCUAGUGCUAACGACCCAUUCACGACAUGUCUGGUGGGGAACCCGGCAGAUAACAAAGACUGGACUGUCUACUUGCCGCAAGUGCCCCUAGAGCCACAGGAAUUAGAUAUCCUGGGAUGUGAAACAGCAACAGCAUGUGUAAGGUUUAAUUGCUCAGGCAAAAAAACAAAUCAUGAAACAAAUGGUUAUUGCAAUGCAUCUCUUUGCUGUAAUUAUACAAAACUAUAAUAGCAUCCUUCCUUGCGCCAGGAGCCGCUCUGCUCGGCUGUGGGAUCGACUGUGGAACGGACCCCCCUAGGUGCACCCCGAGCAUUUUCCUUGGAGGGGUCUUCACUCUCAGCCACUCACCACGGGAGUAGACAAGGACCUCCUGAAGCCGCGGACAAAUUAUUUUAAGUGAUAUGUUCUUGUGGUAUGAAUGAGAAGUGCAAGAGGCCUCUUUGCGUGAUUGUGUGAUUGUGCUGUGCGAGUGAGACGCAGCAUCGCUGCGAAGCAACAUCCCUAGCGCUUAGUGGCUUGUUGACUGAUGUAGAUUCUAGUAGGCACGCUACUUUACAAUCGUAAUUCUGCAUGUGAUUUUCACCCUGUUGCUUAUUGUACCUUGCUUAUUGCAGUGUCUGCGGUGAUUGAUAGAAAGAUCUAUAGAAAGCAUUUGGUU